rnacentral:pre_miRNA from 1 species
UUUGAUUUCUGUGUCCAAAGUUUGACCAUUCGUCUUAUUUAACAAAAUUGUACAAAAACUUCAAAAAAUUUAUGUGUGACUAAUUUUUUUAAAGUUUUUUACAAUUUUUUAAAUAAGACGAAUGGUCAAACUUUGGACAUAGAAAUUGAAAAAUGAUGUUAUU